GAUGAACGCUGGCGGCGUGCCUUAUACAUGCAAGUCGAGUGGGUUUAGACCCACGGCCACCGGGUGAGUAACACGUAGGUACUUUCCUUGUCACAGGAAUAACCCUCCGAAAGGAGGGCUAAUACCUGAUGUGAUCGCAAGAUUAAAGGGUAUCCGCAAGGAUUACCGGACAAGAAGAGGCCUGCGGCCUAUCAGCUAGUUGGCGGGGUAAAUGCCCACCAAGGCUAUGACGGGUAGCUGGUCUUAUGAGGAUGAUCAGUCACAUGGGCACUGAGACAAGGGCCCAACUCCUACGGGAGGCAGCAGUAGGGAAUUUUGCGCAAUGGACGAAAGCCUGACGCAGCGACGCCGCGUGCGGGAUGAAGGCCUUCGGGUCGUAAACCGCUUUUAUAAGGGACGAACUUUGACGGUACCUUAGGAAUAAGAGGUUGCUAACUCUGU
rnacentral:rRNA from 1 species